AGGCGCGUCCGUUAAUUGGUAAACGGUUCGCCUCCAAAGCGAAUCCUGCAGGUUCGAGUCCUGCCGCGCCUGCUA
rnacentral:tRNA from 5 species